UACGGAGGGUGCAAGCGUUGUUCGGAAUUAUUGGGCGUAAAGCGCACGUAGGCGGGCUUGAAAGUCGAUUGUGAAAGCCCCGGGCUUAACCCGGGAUGUGCAGUCGAUACUCCAAGUCUUGAAUGCUUGAGAGGGUCAUGGAAUUCCAGGUGUAGAAGUGAAAUUCGUAGAUAUCUGGAGGAACACCAGAGGCGAAGGCGUUGACCUGGCAAGACAUUGACGCUGAGGUGCGAAAGCGUGGGGAGCAAACAGG
rnacentral:rRNA from 1 species